rnacentral:rRNA from 1 species
CACACUAUCAUUAACUGAAUCCAUAGGUUAAUGAGGCGAACCGGGGGAACUGAAACAUCUAAGUACCCCGAGGAAAAGAAAUCAACCGAGAUUCCCCCAGUAGCGGCGAGCGAACGGGGAGCAGCCCAGAGCCUGAAUCAGUGUGUGUGUUAGUGGAAGCGUCUGGAAAGGCGCGCGAUACAGGGUGACAGCCCCGUACACAAAAAUGCACAUGCUGUGAGCUCGAUGAGUAGGGCGGGACACGUGGUAUCCUGUCUGAAUAUGGGGGGACCAUCCUCCAAGGCUAAAUACUCCUGACUGACCGAUAGUGAACCAGUACCGUGAGGGAAAGGCGAAAAGAACCCCGGCGAGGGGAGUGAAAAAGAACCUGAAACCGUGUACGUACAAGCAGUGGGAGCCUCUUUAUGGGGUGACUGCGUACCUUUUGUAUAAUGGGUCAGCGACUUAUAUUCUGUAGCAAGGUUAACCGAAUAGGGGAGCCGAAGGGAAACCGAGUCUUAACUGGGCGUUAAGUUGCAGGGUAUAGACCCGAAACCCGGUGAUCUAGCCAUGGGCAGGUUGAAGGUUGGGUAACACUAACUGGAGGACCGAACCGACUAAUGUUGAAAAAUUAGCGGAUGACUUGUGGCUGGGGGUGAAAGGCCAAUCAAACCGGGAGAUAGCUGGUUCUCCCCGAAAGCUAUUUAGGUAGCGCCUCGUGAAUUCAUCUCCGGGGGUAGAGCACUGUUUCGGCAAGGGGGUCAUCCCGACUUACCAACCCGAUGCAAACUGCGAAUACCGGAGAAUGUUAUCACGGGAGACACACGGCGGGUGCUAACGUCCGUCGUGAAGAGGGAAACAACCCAGACCGCCAGCUAAGGUCCCAAAGUCAUGGUUAAGUGGGAAACGAUGUGGGAAGGCCCAGACAGCCAGGAUGUUGGCUUAGAAGCAGCCAUCAUUUAAAGAAAGCGUAAUAGCUCACUGGUCGAGUCGGCCUGCGCGGAAGAUGUAACGGGGCUAAACCAUGCACCGAAGCUGCGGCAGCGACGCUUAUGCGUUGUUGGGUAGGGGAGCGUUCUGUAAGCCUGUGAAGGUGUGCUGUGAGGCAUGCUGGAGGUAUCAGAAGUGCGAAUGCUGACAUAAGUAACGAUAAAGCGGGUGAAAAGCCCGCUCGCCGGAAGACCAAGGGUUCCUGUCCAACGUUAAUCGGGGCAGGGUGAGUCGACCCCUAAGGCGAGGCCGAAAGGCGUAGUCGAUGGGAAACAGGUUAAUAUUCCUGUACUUGGUGUUACUGCGAAGGGGGGACGGAGAAGGCUAUGUUGGCCGGGCGACGGUUGUCCCGGUUUAAGCGUGUAGGCUGGUUUUCCAGGCAAAUCCGGAAAAUCAAGGCUGAGGCGUGAUGACGAGGCACUACGGUGCUGAAGCAACAAAUGCCCUGCUUCCAGGAAAAGCCUCUAAGCAUCAGGUAACAUCAAAUCGUACCCCAAACCGACACAGGUGGUCAGGUAGAGAAUACCAAGGCGCUUGAGAGAACUCGGGUGAAGGAACUAGGCAAAAUGGUGCCGUAACUUCGGGAGAAGGCACGCUGAUAUGUAGGUGAGGUCCCUCGCGGAUGGAGCUGAAAUCAGUCGAAGAUACCAGCUGGCUGCAACUGUUUAUUAAAAACACAGCACUGUGCAAACACGAAAGUGGACGUAUACGGUGUGACGCCUGCCCGGUGCCGGAAGGUUAAUUGAUGGGGUUAGCGGUAACGCGAAGCUCUUGAUCGAAGCCCCGGUAAACGGCGGCCGUAACUAUAACGGUCCUAAGGUAGCGAAAUUCCUUGUCGGGUAAGUUCCGACCUGCACGAAUGGCGUAAUGAUGGCCAGGCUGUCUCCACCCGAGACUCAGUGAAAUUGAACUCGCUGUGAAGAUGCAGUGUACCCGCGGCAAGACGGAAAGACCCCGUGAACCUUUACUAUAGCUUGACACUGAACAUUGAGCCUUGAUGUGUAGGAUAGGUGGGAGGCUUUGAAGUGUGGACGCCAGUCUGCAUGGAGCCGACCUUGAAAUACCACCCUUUAAUGUUUGAUGUUCUAACGUUGACCCGUAAUCCGGGUUGCGGACAGUGUCUGGUGGGUAGUUUGACUGGGGCGGUCUCCUCCUAAAGAGUAACGGAGGAGCACGAAGGUUGGCUAAUCCUGGUCGGACAUCAGGAGGUUAGUGCAAUGGCAUAAGCCAGCUUGACUGCGAGCGUGACGGCGCGAGCAGGUGCGAAAGCAGGUCAUAGUGAUCCGGUGGUUCUGAAUGGAAGGGCCAUCGCUCAACGGAUAAAAGGUACUCCGGGGAUAACAGGCUGAUACCGCCCAAGAGUUCAUAUCGACGGCGGUGUUUGGCACCUCGAUGUCGGCUCAUCACAUCCUGGGGCUGAAGUAGGUCCCAAGGGUAUGGCUGUUCGCCAUUUAAAGUGGUACGCGAGCUGGGUUUAGAACGUCGUGAGACAGUUCGGUCCCUAUCUGCCGUGGGCGCUGGAGAACUGAGGGGGGCUGCUCCUAGUACGAGAGGACCGGAGUGGACGCAUCACUGGUGUUCGGGUUGUCAUGCCAAUGGCACUGCCCGGUAGCUAAAUGCGGAAGAGAUAAGUGCUGAAAGCAUCUAAGCACGAAACUUGCCCCGAGAUGAGUUCUCCCUGACUCCUUGAGAGUCCUGAAGGAACGUUGAAGACGACGACGUUGAUAGGCCGGGUGUGUAAGCGCAGCGAUGCGUUGAGCUAACCGGUACUAAUGAACCGUGAGGCUUAACCUUACAACGCCGAAG